AUGAAAGAGUAUGCAGAUGCUGUUAAGUUUCGUGGUCAGAAUGGAUGGACCAAAGAAGGAUGGAAAAGCAUGGCUACACGCUUGAACAAUCAGUUCCCGAGAGCUAAUUUUAUUGUUGAUCAACUAAAAUUUAGGGAGCAGUGGUUGAAGAAAGAAUAUUUUAUUGUCAAAUCUAUUGUAGAGAAGAGUGGCUUCGGUUUUGAUCCUAAUACAAAAAUGCCAACAACCAUUGAUGAAAAAUGGGAUGAAUUGAGCAAAGAACAACAGAAGUGGAGAUACAAAGCUUUCCCUUACUAUGAUGACUUGCAUGCAAUUUAUGAUGGUAAAACAGCGGAGGGGAAGGGUUGUAAGAGGACAACUGAUGUGGUUGAAGAGAAGUCCAGUCCGGCUACAGAUUUACCACAAGGGGAAAGCUUCACACAACAAGUUCUAGAUGCCACUGGACUUAAUUCGCAUAGUCCAACAUUACCGACUCCAGGCUUUGAAGGUCAUAAUUACGAGUGGACUGAAGGCAUAUAUGGUGAGGAUGUUGAAGUAUUUCCUGUUAACAACACAGAACGUAUGGAAAAUAACAGUAGCCAAAUUCCCACAGAACACAUGAACACACUUCCUGACCCACCACCUAUGAAAAGGGCUAGGACUUCUAAAGGCAAUGAUGAAAGUAAGGCUAAGAGAGGCAAAGAAACAGGGAUUUAA
rnacentral:rRNA from 1 species